GACGAACGCUGGCGGCGUGCUUAACACAUGCAAGUCGAGCGGAGCGGCGAACGGGUGAGUAACGCGUGAGUAACUUCCCCCCUCUCUGGGAUAACAGUUGGAAACGGCUGCUAAUACCGGAUAGUGGGGGAUGUCUCGGUUCCUGUCAGCUUGGUGGUGGGGUAGUGGCCUAACAAGGCGACGACGGGUAGCCGGCCUGAGAGGGCGACCGGCCACUUUGGGCGGAGAUACGGCCCAGACUACUACGGGAGGCAGCAGUGGGGGAGAUUGCACAAUGGGCGAAAGCCUGAUGCAGCGACGCGCGGGGGGGAUGAAGGCUUUCGGGUUGUAAACCUCUUUCGCUAUCGAAUGGGUAGGGGGAGAAGAAGCGACGGCUAACUACGUGCCAGCAGCCGCGGUAAUAC
rnacentral:rRNA from 1 species